GAUGGGUUAUCUCAGUGGUUAGAGCUUAGGCCUUGUGACCAGAAGGUCCCGGGUUCGAAUCUCGCCAGUGUUG
rnacentral:tRNA from 1 species